CCAGCAGUCCUCUGACCACACCAUACCUGAGCACAUUUACUGUGGACAGCAUGUUUAGCUUGAAGUCUUUCCUUCUACCCCAUCAUAGCUACCACUGUUGUGAGAACUCCCAUGUCCAGCACUCCAGGGAGGUGACAUCAGGAUGAAGUAUUCAUUUGUGAUGAGCAGUGUGCAAACAAUAAUAAAGCCAAAUCCACAUUUUUGUGACACUCCUGACAAACUGCUGCUGUAUUAAAGAAAUAAAUUACA
rnacentral:lncRNA from 1 species